rnacentral:rRNA from 1 species
GACGAACGCUGGCGGCGUGCUUAACACAUGCAAGUCGAACGGAAAGGCCCUGCUUUUGUGGGGUGCUCGAGUGGCGAACGGGUGCGUAACACGUGAGUAACCUGCCCUUGACUUUGGGAUAACUUCAGGAAACUGGGGUUAAUACCGUAUAGGAGCUCCUGCUGCAUGGUGGGGGUUGGAACGUUUCGGCGGUAGGGGAUGGACUCGCGGCUUAUCAGCUUGUUGGUGGGGUAGUGGCUUACCAAGGCUGUGACGGGUAGCCGGCCUGAGAGGGUGACCGGCCACAUUGGGACUGAGAUACGGCCCAGACUCCAACGGGAGGCAGCAGUGGGGAAUAUUGCACAGUGGGCGGAAGCCUGAUGCAGAAACGCCGCGUGCGGGAUGACGGCCUUCGGGUUGUAAACCGCUUUCGCCUGUGACGAAGCGUGAGUGACGGUAAUGGGUAAAGAAGCACCGGCUAACUACGUG